GAUGAACGCUGGCGGCGUGCCUAAUACAUGCAAGUCGAGCGAACAGAUGAGGAGCCUGCUCCUCUGACGUUAGCGGCGGACGGGUGAGUAACACGUGGAUAACCUACCUAUAAGACUGGGAUAACUUCGGGAAACCGGAGCUAAUACCGGAUAAUAUAUUGAACCGCAUGGUUCAAUAGUGAAAGACGGUUUUGCUGUCACUUAUAGAUGGAUCCGCGCCGCAUUAGCUAGUUGGUAAGGUAACGGCUUACCAAGGCAACGAUGCGUAGCCGACCUGAGAGGGUGAUCGGCCACACUGGAACUGAGACACGGUCCAGACUCCUACGGGAGGCAGCAGUAGGGAAUCUUCCGCAAUGGGCGAAAGCUUGACGGAGCAACGCCGCGUGAGUGAUGAAGGUCUUCGGAUCGUAAAACUCUGUUAUUAGGGAAGAACAAAUGUGUAAGUAACUAUGCACGUCUUGACGGUACCUAAUCAGAAAGCCACGGCUAACUACGUG
rnacentral:rRNA from 1 species